rnacentral:rRNA from 1 species
UAGGGAAUCUUCGGCAAUGGGGGGAACCCUGACCGAGCAACGCCGCGUGAGUGAAGAAGGUUUUCGGAUCGUAAAGCUCUGUUGUUAAGGAAGAACGAGUGUGAGAAUGGAAAGUUCAUACUGUGACGGUACUUAACCAGAAAGGGACGGCUAACUACGUGCCAGCAGCCGCGGUAAUACGUAGGUCCCGAGCGUUGUCCGGAUUUAUUGGGCGUAAAGCGAGCGCAGGCGGUUAGAUAAGUCUGAAGUUAAAGGCAGUGGCUCAACCAUUGUAGGCUUUGGAAACUGUUUAACUUGAGUGCAGAAGGGGAGAGUGGAAUUCCAUGUGUAGCGGUGAAAUGCGUAGAUAUAUGGAGGAACACCGGUGGCGAAAGCGGCUCUCUGGGCUGUAACUGACGCUGAGGCUCGAAAGCGUGGGGAGCGAACAGG